UACGGGGGGCAGAACCAGCGGGAACGGGAGCUUGCUCCUUGAUUCACCUGGCAGACGGGUGAGUAAUGCCUAGGAAUCUGCCUGGUAGUGGGGGACAACGUUUCGAAAGGAACGCUAAUACCGCAUACGUCCUACGGGAGAAAGCAGGGGACCUUCGGGCCUUGCGCUAUCAGAUGAGCCUAGGUCGGAUUAGCUAGUUGGUGAGGUAAUGGCUCACCAAGGCGACGAUCCGUAACUGGUCUGAGAGGAUGAUCAGUCACACUGGAACUGAGACACGGUCCAGACUCCUACGGGAGGCAGCAGUGGGGAAUAUUGGACAAUGGGCGAAAGCCUGAUCCAGCCAUGCCGCGUGUGUGAAGAAGGUCUUCGGAUUGUAAAGCACUUUAAGUUGGGAGGAAGGGCAUAAGUUAAUACCUUGCUGUUUCGACCUUUCCGACAGAAUAAGCACCGGCUAACUCUGUGCCAGCACCCGCGGUAUACAGAGGGGUG
rnacentral:rRNA from 1 species